AAAUUUGAUUCUGGUUUUAUUAAAAUUUUUAUUUGAUGAGUUUAAUAUGUAAAUAUUUGUGUGUUUUGGGAAUUAUUUAAAUAAUUUUUCCUGAAAAUUAUUAAUCGCAGUUUUUAUUUUUAUGUAAUUUAAUAGAUUAAGAUAUAGUCAAUUUUUAAAAUGGUUAGCAAAGAUUGUGCCAGCAGCUGCGGUUAUACAAUCAACCAAUAUUAUUUUUAUUAGGGAAUUAUUAGUUUUUGAUUAAUUGAACUUAUUAUUAAUUUUUUAUUUUUAAGUGAAAUUUAAAUGUUAAUAUAAAGUUUUGGUAAUUUAAAGAUUAUAAGAAAUUCUUUUUUGAGACUAGGAUUAGAUACCCUAUUAUUUUGAAUGUAAAAUAUUUUUCUUAUUAUUAAUAGUUAUGAUCUUUAAAUUGAAAGAAUUUGACGGUAAUUUUAAUCAUUUUAGAGGAACCUGUUCUGUAAUUGAUAAUCCACGAUAAAUUUUAUCUUAAUUUAUUGUUUGUAUAUCUCUGUCUGAUGAAUGUUUUAUUAGGAAAUUUUCGUUUAUUUUUAUUGAAUUAUAUGUCAGGUCAAGGUGCAGCUGUAUUAAGGAUUGAAAUGGGUUACAUUUAAUUAAUUUAUUAUUGGAAUAAAAACUUUUUAAGUUUUUAUGAAAUUGGAUUUAAUUGUAAUGUUUAAUAUAUAUUAUUCAUGAUAUAUGUUCUUGAUUAAGUACACAUCGCCCGUCGCUCUCAUUAUUAAAAUGAGAUAAGUCGUAACAAAGUAAUCCUAUCGGAAGAUGGGGUUAGAAUUAUA
rnacentral:ncRNA from 1 species